GGGAUUACAAGUGCCCACCACCAUGCCUGGCAAGUUUUUAUAUUUUUAGUAGAGACGGGGUUUCACCAUGUUAGCCAGGCUGGUCUCGAACUCCUGACCUCAAGUGAUCCACCUGCCUUGGUCUCCCAAAGUGCCGGGAUUAUAGGCGUGAGCCACCGCGCCCAGCCUCCCCUGCCUUCUGAGCAGGAUGCACCCCUCUGUCGAUUGCAUCACAUUGGAGCUCCUCCUCUUACAUUGUCUGGUAGGGGCCUGGCAAGGAAGUGUUAACACGAGAAAUGGAGAUCUCCUAUUCCUGACUCCCUCCUGGAACCAGCACGUCACUCCAGGCCCCCAGAGGCAUUGGCCCUCCUGUGAAUUCAACCAAGCGUGGUGUCCCAUAGCAAAUAUGGAAAACGCCUGGAAAAAGCCACCAGAUGGUGCUUCUCCAUGCCAAGUAACCCCCGGUGGAGAUAGGCACCUGUGAGAAGUAUCACUGCUUCGUGGGUCAGGGGCUUGGACCCACCAGGGCUGUGUCACCUGCGGACCAUGUGAACUCAACUCCCACCCCCCGGCCCCUGCCCAGCCUCCCCUACCAGGCUCGAUGUAAAGUGAUGGUGAAGUGAAAACAGAUUUGGGGCCCUUGCCACCUCUUUCUGGUUGGUAACUUUGUUUCUUGGACAACAAUGCAGAGUUUGAAGCCCAUCCAGGGACAACAUUCCAUCUGCCCCCUGCAAGUUCCGGUGCGGUCUUCGCUAAGAGGCCAAGCAAGAUGAUGUAAUCACCUGAUGAGUUCCUCCUGCCCACUGCACAGACAAAACCAAUUCACUGAGACGACGGCAUUGCAAUAAAGAAAGAGCUUAAUUGACACAAGGUUGGCCACUCCUGUCUCAAAUCAAAUCAAUCUGAAAAUUUGGAGGCUAGGGUUUUUAAAGGAUACUUUGGUGGGCAGGGGGCUGGGGAAUGGGGGCUGCUGAUUGGUUGGGGAUGCAAUCACAGGGUUGUGGAAAUUGGUCCUUGUGCACCAAGUCCACUUCUGGGCGGGCUCCCCAGGACCGGCUGAGCCAAGAGUUGAAGGUCUGGGUGGGGCCAUCCGGUCAUCAGAAAUGCAGGUAAAGACAUCUCAAAAGGCCAAUCUUAGGUUCCACAAUAGUGAAUUGGGACAGUUGCAAAUCUUGUAUCCUCUGGAAUAAUGGCUGGUUGUCAUUUAACUAUGCCUGCGUCUUAGCGAAAUUUAGGCCCCUCUCAUCCUCCUAACCUGGUGGCCUUUCUUUUCUUUUCAUUUUUUUUUAAGAAACAGGUUCUUACUCUGUCCCCCAGGCAGGAAUGCAGUGGUGUGAUCGUGGCUCACUGCAGCUUAAAACUCCUGGGCUCAAGUGAUCCUCCCACUU
rnacentral:lncRNA from 1 species